CAAUAGCGUAUAUUAAAGUUGUUGCGGUUAAAAAGCUCGUAGUUGGAUUUCUGUGGUAGGCAGCCGGUCCACACUAUGUGUGAGUAUCUGGUUCGGCUACUGCAUCCUCCUGAGGAACGUUGAUGCGCUUCACUGCGUGGCACGGUAUUCAGGACUUUUACUUUGAGGAAAUUAGAGUGUUCACGGCAGGCGUUUGCCCUGAAUAUAUUAGCAUGGAAUAAUGAUAUAGGAUCCACGUCCUAUUUUGUUGGUUUCUAGGACGAGGAUAAUGAUUAAUAGGGAUAAUUGGGGGCAUUCGUAUUAACACGUCAGAGGUGGAAUUCUUGGAUUGUGUUACGACGAACUACUGCGAAAGCAUUUGCCAAGGAUGUUUUCAUUGA
rnacentral:rRNA from 1 species